AGCUGCUCCUCGUAGGACUUGUUCUCCAGGCCCCUCACCAGCUUCGUCGCCCUUCUCUGGACCCGAAGACAUACCUAUGUCUUGUUUUGACAAGACAUACCUUGUCAAACUCUCACUGGGAUCCAGCCAAGCUGCUUCUGCAACCAAUGCUGAUACCACGGGGCAGGUCUGGGCAUACGGUACCAUCUCAGCUGAUGUACAGCAAAACACCUCCACCAAAAAAACAUCUCACCUGAUGAAAAACCUGGAAGUCUGCCUCUGGGGAAGAGGUCUCUGGCUUUAUCCUGCAGACCUUUUUGCUGGCCAACAGGACAAUAGGGGUGCACUUUAACAUCCCCCAUCUUCCCACCAGCCCACUGGUUUUCACGUCUACAAUGUAUUAAUUUCCAUCUGAGCUAGCCACUGUUUUCAACCUUUAUGGUCAGUGGAGAGAAUUAGGCUGCUUUUAGGAUGCAAUUCAUUUGACCUUUCUUAGACAUCUACUUUAGGAAGAGAUAAAUCACUCCCCCAAGUGUCUGUGUUUCUCUGUCGACCACAAAAUGGCCUGAGGGUGGUUAGUUCAGCGUCAGGUAUCAAUAGUGUAGGCGGUCUACAUAUAAUUAGGUGAAUCCCAAUCUGGUUUGCUACAGUGCUGCUGUUGCAAUGACUGCUGAAGUGCUCUACAAAGAGUUUUAUUCACAUAUCUUGAGCAUGUAAAAAUAUCGUGGGUUUUGUCCUUUUACAGUCUUUGUUUCAGAAGCAUCGUGCUAGCAGGGUCUGUGUUUUGUGCUGAAGUUGGUCUGACAAUUCUGUUCAGGAUUGUCUUCAGUUACCCACCAAGAAAUCAUCAAUUUCUGCACUUUUUCACCCAAUGUCUUUCACCAAAUAUUAGUCUGAUUUAAUUUAAAGGUAGAGGAAAGGCACGAUGUACAACAAGGAAAUGAAUACAACAUUAGGAACAUCUCUCAUCACUGCAUACAGUUGAAAGCAAAGUUGGAUACGCAUACAUUUUUGUUUUUAUUUGAUCACAGGGCAAUAUUUUAAAUAAUAUUAGAAAUGAGAAAUCUAUAGUGGUGAGAGUCACUGUAAUGCCAUAAGCACACUAAGCCAGUGUACAGUACAUCUCAGAAAAGGCCCAAGGCUCAGAUGUCUAUCUCUGUGUUCUUGUAUUCCCAACAAGCAGUGAAUAAUGCAUUAGUUUUGCUUCAAGCAUCCUAUUUUGAAUAUGCUUUAGCCAGAAUUAUUAGCUUUCAUGUAGUGUAUAUUGUUAACAGGGGUCAUGCUCAGUGCCCACCUAGUGCUGUCUCCAGACGGGCCCUGGUAAGGAACACAGAAAGAUUUCAAUAAAAAUUUCUCCUUGCUGGUUGUCCCUACUGGGAUCCCCCAGGAUUUCCAGAUGAUAAGGCUAGGGCCAGCUGAAGGUGGUGGUGGAAAUCUCCCUACAAGCCCCAUGGUUCAUUGGCUGAGGCCCAACAUAUUUAACAAAGCAGAAGGAGGCAACCAUUUCUGUUGCGUUAACAUGGGAGGACUUGCACUUUCUCUCCAUAGAGACCCAUCCCAGGACCAGCCACCCCAAGACACCCCACUGGGUGUGUGUUGAGCUGCGUUGGGAAGAGCUGGAGCCAUCUGUGCAGCAACAAGUAACCCCCCAGAGCUGUCCUGCAGCUGGAUAAGGGGAGGAUAGCCUGAAAAGAGCCUUCCCUAAACUCAUCUUGGUGAGGGCCACCAGUGCCCAGGACGGAUGAUGGCCAUGGUCAUCUGCUGAGCAGACUUCAAGAGUUGAGGGAAGAGCUGCCAAACGCAGCCCCGGGCUGAGAAGCUGCCCCUGGCUGUUGUUAAGCUGUUGUGCUUUCUCCUCCUGCAGCCGGGGUGGUCUAUAAAAAGUGAAUUAGCUUGCAAGGAGCUAUUAAGAGCAUGCCAUUUGAGAUACAGGGUAUAAUUUGCAAAAGAGUAGGUGUUUACACAUACACGUAUCCACACGCACAUCCCGUAUUUAAGUUUCCACAGCUACCGCUGGAGCAAGCAGCCAGCUGCUAAAUCCAAAAUAGCAACGAGAGCACAUCAUCCGCCCUCUGUAUUACCAUUUGAAAGGGACAGUUCCUUGGGAGGAUGGGAAUUUGACAGGAUAUGAAUAUGUCUGAGACUCUAUUAGGCACUAAUUCAGCAGGACUGGCUGAAUGAGAUGAAGAAGCAAUGAGGAGGAGAGAAUCUCUUCAAAUCUGAGCUGAUUGGUAAUUUUGAU